rnacentral:rRNA from 1 species
AAUAGAUACCCUGGUAGUCCACGCCGUAAACGAUGUCGACUUGGAGGUUGUGCCCUUGAGGCGUGGCUUCCGGAGCUAACGCGUUAAGUCGACCGCCUGGGGAGUACGGCCGCAAGGUUAAAACUCAAAUGAAUUGACGGGGGCCCGCACAAGCGGUGGAGCAUGUGGUUUAAUUCGAUGCAACGCGAAGAACCUUACCUGGUCUUGACAUCCACAGAACUUUCCAGAGAUGGAUUGGUGCCUUCGGGAACUGUGAGACAGGUGCUGCAUGGCUGUCGUCAGUUCGUGUUGUGAAAUGUUGGGUUAAGUCCCGCAACGAGCGCAACCCUUAUCCUUUGUUGCCAGCGGUCCGGCCGGGAACUCAAAGGAGACUGCCAGUGAUAAACUGGAGGAAGGUGGGGAUGACGUCAAGUCAUCAUGGCCCUUAGACCAGGGCUACACACGUGCUACAAUGGCGCAUACAAAGAGAAGCGAACUCGCGAGAGCAAGCGGACCUCAUAAAGUGCGUCGUAGUCCGGAUUGGAGUCUGCUAAC